GAGAGGAUGGGCCCCACGGCGAGAGGCUGUGGGUCUCUGCUAAAGCUUCGAGCACACAUGGUGUGUGUGCGGCUCUCAGCAGCGCUAAGCCCAGCAGCGAUGCGGUGCUGUUUGUCAGUUUGAGGUCACAAAUUUCUCCCCAUCAUCUGGUGGCAGUUAGAGGCCGUGAGCCAAAGCCUCUGCCCGGCUGGGCUUGCCCUCUGUGCGACUCUGCAUCUGUGAGAUGGGCACGGCCUGCAAGCUCGCUGGGAAGAGUAACCACGCAGUGCCUGUGCCUACCUGGAAAACUGUUAGCACUAUCUAAAAAUGAUCAUUGUUCUUGGUAAAGGAGUUACGACAGCAGCUGCCUAAUGGGAAGCGUAGUUGGCUCCCUGCCCCUCCAAUUAGCUGACUUAGGCGCCAUUAGUUUGCAAGGCGCCCUCAAAUUUGUACCCGGCUGCAAGUUUUCUGAAUGUGCAGAACAGUGUGGAAAGAUGAAGCCAGGUUGAUUCCUUAAAGUCCGUCCCAAAUACUCGAUAAUGCCCAGCCUGAGGGCAAGUUAGCUUCCUUCCCUUUAUUUACACGGAGUGUGUUUACAGUGCUAUUUUAGUUAUUUGGCAGUUUCAGGUGCAUCUUACCAUUGGGAAACUUACGAACUCCAGGGGCUGUGAGCCAGGGGCACGGCCAAGAAAGGACUGGGGUCCUGUCUGCUCCAUGAAAGGGAGAUUAUUUGUCAGUCAUUAUUUCAAUUGUACAUAUUUAUCAGGUACAGUUUAAUAAUUUGGCGUGUUACACGAAGCAUGCAGCAUUCAUGUUGUGUGAGUAUGUAACGAGUGUGUCAUGAUAGCAUCAGGGUAGUUCACAGUCCCAUUUCCUUACACAUUCCUAAAAGUUUUGAUGAACAGAUAAUGAUUUUGCAUAUUUAUGAGAUACGGUGUGAUAUUUCAACACAUGUGUACAACAGGUACUGACCAAAUCAGGUAACGAAUACUUCCUUGUCCUUAUCUUUAUGUUGCAUGUGGAGGUUUCAAGCUCCUCUCUUGUAGUUCUUCAUAAAAUACAUAAUAGGUUAUUAUGAGGUAUGGUUCACUGUACACUGUGCUGUAGAGCCCUGGAGCAUGUUGUUUCUGUCUGUCAGUGGUUGGUACCGGUACUGGCUAUCCACCUCUCUGAGUCCCCUUUUAUCUUUUCCCUCAAGCCUUUCCAGACUCUAGUAUUCGCUAUUCUACAUUUAGAUUGACUUGGAAAAAAGCAUCUGCAGAUAUGAGUGAACAUGUAAUAUUUAUCCUUCUGUGUCUGACUUAGUUCACCUAGCUGCACAUGACAGGGUAUUCACUUUACUGCUGGAUGAUUUUCCACUGCAUGUAAAUACACUGUGUUUUCUUUGUCCCAUCACCCAUUCCCAGGCUUCUCAGUGGCUUCUGUAUUUUAGCUAUUGUGAAUAGUGGGGCAAGUGAAUGUGGGUGUGCAGGGAAGUCUUCAGUAUGCUGAUAUGAUGCUGAAGGAUGGAUCAACCAGGAGGCAGGGGAGGUAUCUCAGCAUGCAUGGAUGUGAAAUGACCAAAGACACCCACCCCGAGGAAGCGCGUGUUGAGGACGAGGAUGCAGAGGCAGUGCUCUGCCUGUCAAUGGCUCAGUGACGGCCGACUGUUCCACUGUGAAUGCUGCUUGGCACUUUUGUUUACCUUGCAAGUGAGACGAAAGUGGAAAAAUGAAGACAGGACGUGAGCAACUCCUCUGCUGAAUCAAACAGUCUUUUUCAAAUUCCAGAAAAGUAUUUCCUCAAUUAUUUUGUGUUUUUCACAAUGUCAUGUCUACAGAUAAGACACAUUUUAAAGCUUAAUCUGCCAAUUUGUUAAUAGUUUAACAGUCUAACCCAUUAACUUUUUAGUGUUUCCGCAGUGUAGACAGUUGUCAAAUAAUACAUCAAACCAUGGUUUAUAGCAUAUGCCAAUUUCUGUGAGGUAAAUAUUUCUACACAGAGUUGUUUCACAACUAGUUUGCAGAUUCUUUAAAGUCACAGUAACAACGGACUCUGGUGAGCACCUCUUGUGCUGACUGAACUCAAAACCUUGUGGGAGCGAGGAACAUACAGUGUCCUAGCUUCCACGGUGGGAAGGAAAUAUGGAAAUUCAUAACAGAAGAGUUCUGGAGGGCAGAAGGGAAGGAAAUAACUGCACACACAAGGGUACCGAGAAGGAAAACCAUUCUUUUCUGUCAGGGAGAAUCAAGCUAGCAAAGAGAGGAAAGAAAAAAAUCCAGAAAGUGGACCUCAGGAAUAGUAAGAUAUGGAGAGGCCCCGUUUUUUGUGUUUGGAUGAAACACCAGGGCUGUGCGGUCCACGUGUUGGGCAGGUCUGACAGAUGCUAACUUUUCCACCACCCUGGGAGGCCCAGGAUCUUCUGUAUCCUGAAGCUGAGGGCACUGAGGAGUGUAGUUUUGUAUCUGAACUAAAUUUACGGAGCCAGGCCAAGUGAGGUGAGAAAUUACUGUACUUGAGCCUAUUUUAGGCACUCUUUGUUAGGAGGAACAAAACAAAACCCCACCCCGUAAUCACCGCACUACAGAAGGGUUAGUGAGGGUGGAAAACAUUUAAUUUGUGGGUACCCUGUGAGCCAUGCUGGGAGCUGGGAGGACUGUGUUCCCCCUGGCGGUGUUGCUGCUGUCCGGGGGUCACCUAAAGAGGGUCUGAAUGGGCGAGGGGCUCCAGCUCCUCAGUGUGGCCAACAGAACCCCUCUUGAGGCUCCCUGCUUCUGUACACUUCAUAUUUGAGUUAAUUUCUGGUUUUCCAGCAUUCUGCAAUCAGGCCGACCAUACUUCUCAAUGUUGCUCAAGGAAGCUCUCCAUCCCUGUCCUAUGCACAGGCUGGGCUGGUCUCCACGUGGUGUGCGCCAUGGCUAAUCUGGAAGACAGAGAAGUCAGAGGCAGAGAGCAUCAGAGGAACUUACCAAAGCUCAUGCAGUCAUGACAGAGCUGCAGCAGGUGUUCCACAGCAAGACCGAAAGCUCAGAGUUGAGGCUCACAACUCGCCAUGGAUUGGAUAUGGAGGAGUCCCUGAAAGUUCGUGCUCUGGAAAAUUGGUCUCCAGGCUGCUGGUGUGGAGGCUAUGAGGAAGAAGAGAUGUGGAGAAAGCUGCCAGAACCCUGGGGUAUCGAGGGCACCCCGUCUUGUUUCUGCACAGUUGCAGGAAGUAGUCUAUUCUAGGAGGGCGUCACCGAGUCUGCACUGGGCCCUGCCAGGUCCGUGCCCCACAUCAGAGCCACUGGAGGGUCCUUCCUUGCUCGUGUGCUCUUUUGGGUAAUAAUAACAGGCUGGCAGAAGACUUGGAUUGACAGUAAGAAGCCUUACAUGAGCCAUCUUUGCAUUAAUGUAUCUCUUUUCCUCAAGACAGAUGUGCAAAAGUGAACUAUGCCCAACCAAUGUGACAUCAACUUACACUUAACCUUUUCUCUCGGAUUCACGAGUGAAGAUGGACAGGACAGGAAGCAUACACAAGGUUAAUAUCAGGUGCUGGCUGGAGGAUUGAAGUGUCAAUCCUGGACUUGGGGGGACAGUGCCGUGUCAUAGGUGGCAGUAGUGUCCAUCCAGGCUGCAGGGGUGGGGGGGUGCUGAUGUCUUGUGCUUACCAAUGCUGAACAGAACAGCUGCGAGAGAAGGUGCAUGUGUGUGAUGUAUGUGUGCUUAUGUGUAAGUGUGAGUGCAUGUGUGAAAGUAGGUAUUCACAGGUGUGAGAAUCUAUGCAUGUACUUUAGUAUACCAUUAAGUGUAUGAACAUGUGAGAGUGGAUGUGCAUGUGAGUGUUACAUGUGAGUCCGUGUGAAUGCAUGUGUGUGAGUGUGUGUAAAGGUGCUUUUCUUGGAACUGCCAGUGGAAUUUCACCUAGUGAGAUUCACUUCUCUCCACCUUACAUUCGGAUGUUAUGCUCAGUAAAACCAUAAUAUUUUGAAAUAUUGUAAUUGUAAAAUGCAUUCACUAUACCUAGCUCACUAAACUUCCUAGUUUAACCCAUCCUCCCUUUACUAUUCUUGGAACACUUACCUUCACUACAGUUGGGCAAAAUCACCUAACCCAACGUCAGCUUUGUAAUAAAAUGUUGACUAUAUCAUGUAAUUUACUGAAUACUGUACUAAAACUGAAAAACAGUGGCUGUACGGAUAUUCUUUCACACCAUCAUAAAUAAAAAAGAUCCUAAGUGGA